rnacentral:rRNA from 1 species
GUCCUAGCCGUAAACGAUGAGCACUGGGUUGGAGGCUCCUCCAUAGGCUUCUGGCCGAAACGAAAGUGUUUAGUGCUCCGCCUGGGGAGUAUGGCCGCAAGGCUGAAACUCAAAGGAAUUGACGGGGGCUCACACAAGCGGUGGAGGAUGUGGCUUAAUUCGAGGCUACGCGAAGAACCUUAUCCUAGUCUUGACAUGCUUGGAUUAACCCCAUGAAAGUGGGGCCACGCCUUCGGGUGGAACAAGCACAGGUGCUGCAUGGCUGUCGU